UUCCAGGGUAAUUCAAACGGCAUUGCUUCUGUGGAUGUUUCAGCUGGUUUUGUUGGACUAAAUGACUAUGUAGAAAUCCCUGCCAUUAUCCUUACGGCAUUUGCAACAUACUCGGGGCCUUUGCUGUGGGCCAUUCAUUUGCUGUGUUAUUUGAGUUCUGAAGUGGACAGGAAUCCUGCAGCGAUGGGGCAUGGCUGCUUCUGCUAUGCACUGUUACGUUCCAUCCCAGUUGGGGUAUACAUUAUUCUGAUCACAGGACUGCGAUACCAUCUCUUUAUCUGGAGUGUCUUUUCACCAAAACUCCUCUACGAGGGAGCACAUACCUUCAUCACGACAGUUGUGUGUACUUUCUUCACAGCGGUGGAUUACCAUUGGCGCAAACACUGAAACCACUGGCUGGGCAGAAUUUUACUUCAUUUCUAGCAAGUGACUGGAUUUUUACAAUGGAACGAGAAUUCUUGCUGCUAGAUUCCCAAUGAAUUUUAAAAAUUAUUGUUUGUUGGAUGAUUUUCUUUUUCAUUUUUCUUAGCAAACAGAUUUCAUAACUUGGCUGUGGUGUAACAAAAGCAUCCUGAAAUGGCAUUUGAAGUGUAAGUGGCUGGGAAAGUGAAUCGCAGGGUCAACUUCGUUGUGUGAACAUUAUGCACUCUCCUGCUUCUCCUUCCAGUGUCAGAUCUUGUGCCUUCCUGAACUUAGGAUCCUUAAACUAGGAUUUAAAGCUGGUUGAACUUUGACUAUGCUAGAAUGUAAUUAGGUUUAACUACAGUUAAAAAUCCAUACUGACCACUUCAGUAUGAAUAAAAGUGUUGUUGUUCUUAGCGUUAGUCCCACAUGAUCACAGGGUUCACUUGUUUUUGUAUUUUGCCUUGCCUAGUUCCAGUGAAGCUAUCAGUGCAUGACGCAACAAGAGUUUUGCUUAUUAGCCAGCUUGUUGCUGAGUCUGACUCUGAUUAGGGUUGGGAGGGAGGGAGUGGCUCGAAAUCAACCAGCAAGCUUCCAUGCCCAAGCAAGGACUAGAACCUGGGUCUUCCUGCUCCUAGUCCAGCACUUUACCAUUACACCAUGCUGGCACCCAUUUCAGUAUGGUUAAAAUAGUCAGUGCAAAUUGGCAGUAGAAUGGGAAAAGAUCACAGUCCACUGUUAACUGGAGUAGAGAUAGCACCCUGGUGUCAUCCAGAUGGAUAUGGCUUCGAAUGUUAGAACAGGAAUGUCUCUGAAGUUCUCCCUUGUUUUUAGUUCUUCCUGAAUGGAAGUCUUCCAAACCAAAAUGAUUUUAAAGGUGAGAUUUAUGCCUGCCAUCAGACUUGUGUGUUAUCACUUUAUUUACUAAAAUAAAUAAAUGUUCCUUCUCAUUUCCCAAUUCUUUCGCUUGUAAGUAAAUGUUCAUGUCCAUACUAUUUUUUCCCCAAAAGUUGAGCAGUGAUGCCUGCAGAAAAGCUUUUGAAACUAUGAAAGAGCAUAUUCUGAUGGCUUUUCCCUUUUAGUUAAGUGGGAGCCAAAAAUUCAAAGUCAAACAGCUUCUGAAAUUGAUUUGCAAGUUUUGGGGACUCUGUCUGAAUGAAGUAUUCAUAUAUGAAGAUUUUUGCAGUGGAGUUGGGGUGGUAUUUUAAUGCUCCCCCCCAUUAACUUUUGCUUCCUAAUACCCAUAUCAAAACCAUAUCUAUAAUGUCUCCCCAUAAUCCAGGAUUUAGCUGGAGAAAGAUGGUGGAAAUGAUAAGGUUCAAUGUUCCAAAGCCAUAUCCUUCUUUCAGGCUGAGGGAGAUCAAGGCAGUGCAGCAUCCAACCCUAAGAGCAGAUCCCAGACUUUGGGUGGGGGGAGUGUUACCUCCUCAAAACCAGCUGCAUGCUUCCCCCCCCCCUUUUUUGGUAUGUCCUGAAUAGAGCAGCCCACAAUGUGACAAACUGUUGAGAAAUAAAUAAACUAGUGAUCAUGUACGUGUAAUAUACCCAUAGCAGUUAUAUGAGUGUAGCUUAAAGCAUUGCCUGUAGUUUGCUUUGAUUAUAUUUUUCCUCAAAUGGUAAUCCAAGAAUCUGAAAGAGGUCUAUCAAGGUAGAACUGCCGCCAUAUCUAAAAACGUAUAUGCAAUUUCUUAUGAGCAUUAAUGGAGAGUUUUGUAGGCAAAAGCACCUAAUUUCAUUAUUUUUAUAGUUGAAACUUGGCAUGGAAAUGUUAUACAUUACCUGUGUAAUAUAUAUGUUAUUACCUUCCUGUCAAAGAAUGUCAAGACACCUGCAGCUGGCAAACAGCUUUGUGUGAAAUGAGAAUUACGAAGUCCAGGUUUUUAAAAAGGAGUUAUAUUUAUAUGCAGUUUAUGGGAACUUGACCUCUCUAGAGUGAGACUAUAUUUUGAUAUUCUUCACAUUUACAAAUGUAUACGUAACUGAAUGUGGCUGAUUUGGGAAGCUAAGCAGGCUCAGGCCUGGUUAGUAUUUGGAUGGAGAACCACCUGAGAAUUCCAGGGCUCUUGGAACAUUGGAAAGCUUAAAAAAGAACAUCCUGGAAGAAGACAGUGAAAAGCCACUUCUGUAAUUCUGCUAAGGUAACUUCAUGGAUAUAAUCACCAGGAGUCAAGCUUGAUUCAAGGAUGUCUUUAAAUGCUAAUUUCUUCAGCAAGUCCAGUCUACGUGAUACAGGCUGAUACGAGCUAGUCUUGAAUUCUUUGCUUAAUGUUUGAACUGCACAGUUUGCUCAGACCCAAUAUUGUGAUCCUGAUUGCAAGAAGUGAGGGAAGAAAUCAUAGGGACAUGCAUCCCCCACUUGCAGUUAAAAACAGCCUGGCUCACGCUUGAUUUUGUGUGUGAGAGAGAGAAAGAAAGACUAAGUAUAAAUACCAUACUGAUUGCACUCCCAAAUCAUGUCCAGGCACACACUGUUAAUUUAAGAUUCUUUUAUGUUCAAGAGAAGUGUGUAAGACUUAACGGUUAGAGUACACUUUGGAAAGUAAAUGCUCUGAGCAGUUGUGAUUUAUGGGGUCUUUUUAUUCCUGUCUCCAAAGAUAGAAAUAAGGCUACACAAAAGGGCUAACAAUGAUUUUCUGAAGCAUCUGUGUAUUUGCAGCUGUAUGUUUCAUUGUUUAAAACUGCACUGCUCUGAAAGCAUUUGAUUGUUUACGUUGAUUGUUGAAAAUGGUUGGAAUGGUAAGCAGUGACAAAUAAAUAAUGUGGUUCUGGCAAACCACAGCCAUGUUAUUCCGCCCCCCCCCCA